UACGUAGGGUCCGAGCGUUGUCCGGAAUACUGGGCGUAAAGCGUGCGCAGGCGGCGCGUUAAGACAGGUGUGAAAGCCCCGAGCUUAACUUGGGAAUUGCGCUUGUGACUGGCGAGCUGGAGUGUGGCAGAGGGAGGUGGAAUUCCACGUGUAGCAGUGAAAUGCGUAGAGAUGUGGAGGAACACCGAUGGCGAAGGCAGCCUCCUGGGCCAGCACUGACGCUCAUGCACGAAAGCGUGGGGAGCAAACAGG
rnacentral:rRNA from 1 species